UGGGGAAUAUUGCACAAUGGGCGCAAGCCUGAUGCAGCCAUGCCGCGUGUAUGAAGAAGGCCUUCGGGUUGUAAAGUACUUUCAGUCGGGAGGAAGGUGGUAAGGUUAAUAACCUUAUCAAUUGACGUUACCGACAGAAGAAGCACCGGCUAACUCCGUGCCAGCAGCCGCGGUAAUACGGAGGGUGCAAGCGUUAAUCGGAAUUACUGGGCGUAAAGCGCACGCAGGCGGUUGAUUGAGUCAGAUGUGAAAUCCCCGGGCUUAACCCGGGAAUUGCAUCUGAUACUGGUCAGCUAGAGUCUUGUAGAGGGGGGUAGAAUUCCAUGUGUAGCGGUGAAAUGCGUAGAGAUCUGGAGGAAUACCGGUGGCGAAGGUGGCCCCCUGGACAAAGACUGACGCUCAGGUGCGAAAGCGUGGGGAGCAAACAGG
rnacentral:rRNA from 1 species